GAGACCAGGCAAUGGGAAUCCAGGAGAGAAAAUGGGAAAGAGAGCUUAAAAAUGUCCUUAGGAGGUUCAAGUUUUUCCGUGCCUGUGUGAGGUAACUCACUCCGUGGACACCCUCCCCACCUCCAACCAUUCUUCUGUAAAAUUUAUAUUUCUUGCUAACACUCUUGGAGUUGGGGUUAUUUAGAGUUUAUUUGAACAACUAUCUUAAACAUAUAAUUAUAACACAUUUAUUUGACAUUUAUAGAGCUCUAAUUGUGUGCAAGGAACUGUGCAAGAUGCUAGGGCAACAGCAGUCAACAAAGGAGACACAUAGUCCUAGCCUCAUGGAAGGUACAGCCAAGCAGGGGUGACACAUGGUAGGUCAGUGCUGGGAAAGACAAACAUGGUAUGCUGAGGACAUGGAACAAUCAAGGGCAUCCAGGCAGAGGCUGAGUGGAGGAGGAGUUUGCAAGGCUGUGCCAAGAACAUUUUUCAGGGUAGAAUCUACCCCCCAGGCAGAGAUGUGGGGAAUAAAGACCAAAAUGGAAACAGCACUGGCCAAGUCUGAGAGCCACGUGAAAAUAGCACAGCACACUUAGGGAUCUGGGGAUUUGGGAUUGCUGGAGUCAAAGUGUUGAGUGUGAGGGGGUAGAAAAGCAUAAUUAUAUGUAGAGUCAGUGCCUGAACAGUUCAGUCAGAAAAGCACAUUUUUCAGGCUAAGAAACUUGGCCUUGGUCCUGCUUAGGUUUUACAGACAAGAGAUUGCCUUUCUGAAAGCUUACCCUGGAGACUGUGUAGCUAGAUGAUGGGCUGAGAGAAAAGGAGGAAGGUGGAUAUAAGAAAGCUCCUGCAAAAAUGCAGGUGAAAAAUGAUGAGGACCUCCACUGGGGACGGGCAGGAGAGGGCAGAUUUAAGGGAUGUUUGGUGAAACUUUCAAGGGGAACUGCUGAUGGACUGGCAAGAGGAAUCCCAGCAGGAUCAGGUGGCUAUGCUCUGGACGGUUUGCAUAACUGUCAGUGGCACCAUUCACUUCACAUUGUAGUUAUAAUCUCUGUCAACAGUGGCACCUGGAGAUGUGCAGUACACAGCCUAGGCAAUCUUACAGAGAAAUCCUGACUCCAAACUCAUCUGUUUCUAUUACUUUUGAGCUUUGGAGGGAUUUAAAGUUUUUCUUUCUCUUAGGGUUUUAUUUAAGCCAUUUUCUUUUGGAAAAAUCUCAGCUAGCAUCAUAGAGUGCGGUAGGAAAGGAAUGUAAUUGGGAAAUGAUAUUGUCUUAUUUUUCUAUAUAAUUUAGCCACCUUUACACUUAAGAUGGCAGACACGGGAAUUACAUUUUUUUAAUGGAGUUUCCCUCUUGUCACCCAGGCUGGAGUGCAGUGGUGUAAUCUCGGCUCACUGCAACCUCCACCACCCAGGUUCAAGCAAUUCUCCUGCCUCAGCCUCCCGAGUAGCUGGGAUAACAGGCGUGCGCCACUACGGCCAGCUAAUUUUUGUAUUUUUAGUAGAGGCGGGGUUUUACCAUGUUGACCAGGCUGGCCUCGAACUCCUAACCUCAGGUGAUCCACCUGCCUCAGCCUCUCAAAGUGCUGGGAUUACAGGUGUGAGCCACCGUGUCUGGCCAGGAGCUAAACAAUUUGAGGUCAAGAUGUGGCGUUAACAAUGUUCCCACAGAUCACAGAAACACAAGUGGACAGCAGAGGCCCUUCUUGCACUAGUACUUCUACCUGGAUGGGGCCUCAGAGGUCUGACUUUCCACAGGAGAAGAAAAUCUUUGAGAGCCAAUUUUACUGCUGGGUGCUGAUGUUUUCCUCAACUGUCUAAAUAAAUCUUCAGCUAAUAAACAUUUCAAUAAAUCUGUUCUGGUGCCUUCCAUUCCUUAAACUAUACAGCCAGAGAAGAUGGAACAUAUGAGCUUGGAUUCUGUCUCUGUAGCGGAUGCAGGGAUAUAAGUGAGCUGAGUUUUACACAUUCCAAAGGGGCCACUGAUCAGGUACUUCGGGAUGCACUCCAAGUGUCCUGGCUAAUUAAGAUAAACCAAAGAUUAGAAGGCAUUUCUUACUCUAUACACAAAGUCAUGAACUCGUCGUUUUGAACAGCAUAAAUUUACAUGAAAUUUCAAAACUUUGCCCCUCCUUCCCCUUUCUCCCUUGCUGGCAUGUAGCUGUUUUAGUUUGUUCUAGCAGAAGAUAACUAUGUGCCAAGAAUCCAACUGGACACGGACUAAAAUUACUUUCAUCUUAGUGUGUACCUUGGAAGCGUAAAGCGAUUUUUCCUUGGCAACCUUGCAUGGUUAGUCCACACAAACUCCAUCACUAUGAACAUGGGUCUUCCUUUAGAGGUGGCAAAAGCAUCUGUCAGAAUUUGGGGCAGGUAUAGCUGGAUAAAGCAUAUUGUAAACCUAUAAUUUAAUGCAAACUGUCAAAUUUUAAAUUGGCUAAAAUAGUUUUAGAAGGUAUGCAAAAGAUCAAGUAAAAUAUAAGCAUGGUAAGGCACACGAUAAAUGGUUCCAGGGAAUCAGAAUCUAAUACGAAGUUAAGUAAACUGAGUAUUUUGAUUAAGUUCAAGGUUGAGUAGGGAACGUCAUCCAUAUUUUGGGAGAAGUCCUCCAAUGUGAAUAUGAAAUUAUGCUAUGCAUGUGAGAACAACAGUUGUCAUGAACUGAGUACUUCUCACAUCAGGAUUGUGCUUUGCCUGUGGGCCCAGGCUCAACAUGUUAGAUAUCUCCAUUUUAUAGAUUAAAAAAAAAAAAAACAUGAGGCCACUGUCAGUGUCUACAAACAAGUAAGAGGCUAUUGGUACACACAGUGGUACUUUUCCAGUUUGCUUGACAGAAUAUGA
rnacentral:lncRNA from 10 species